rnacentral:rRNA from 1 species
AACGAACGCUGGCGGAGUGCUUAAGACAUGCAAGUCGUACGCGAAAGUCACCUUCGGGUGGCGAGUAGAGUGGCGCACGGGUGAGUAACGCGUGGGUAAUCUGCCCUCAGGUUUGGGACAACUUCGGGAAACUGAAGCUAAUACCGGAUGAGACUUCGAGGCCUUCGGGCCUUGCGGAAAAAGAUGGCCUCUUCUUGAAAGCUAUCGCCUGUGGAUGAGCCCGCGUCCCAUUAGCUUGUUGGUGAGGUAAAGCUCACCAAGGCAUCGAUGGGUAGCUGGUCUGAGAGGAUGAUCAGCCACACUGGAACUGAGACACGGUCCAGACUCCUACGGGAGCAGCAGUCGGGAAUAUUGGGCAAUGGGCGCAAGCCUGACCCAGCAACUCCGCGUGAGGGAUGAAAGCCCUCCGGGUCGUAAACCUCUGUCGGGAGGGAAGAAAGCUUCUUAGUCGAAUAGGCUGAGUUGUUGACGGUA